GCUCAGAAACUUAAAUAGAAUUGACGGGGCCCGCACAAGCGGUGGAGUAUGUGGUUUAAUUCGAUGCAACGCGAAGAACCUUACCUGGUCUUGACAUCCCGGAGACCCUUAGGAAACUAGGGGGUGCUUCCAUCUGGAAGAAUCUGGAGACAGGUGCUGCAUGGCUGUCGUCAGCUCGUGUCGUGAGAUGUUGGGUUAAGUCCCGCAACGAGCGCAACCCUUGCCUUUAGUUGCCAGCAGUUCGGCUGGGCACUCUAAAGGGACUGCCGGUGUUAAAUCGGAGGAAGGUGGGGAUGACGUCAAGUCCUCAUGGCCUUUAUGACCAGGGCUACACACGUACUACAAUGGCCGAUACAAAGGGCAGCGACACUGCGAGGUGAAGCCAAUCCCGUAAAAUCGGUCUCAGUCCGGAUUGGAGUCUGCAACUCGACUCCAUGAAGUUGGAAUCGCUAGUAAUCGUGGAUCAGCAUGCCACGGUGAAUACGUUCCCGGGCCUU
rnacentral:rRNA from 1 species